rnacentral:pre_miRNA from 1 species
AUGCAGGGGUUCUGAUUUUGCAAAUUUCAGAUUCAUUGUCAAACUGCGACUCCCAAUGAAUCUUAAUUUUGCAGAUUUAGGACCCGUGGCU